GAGGAGUUGGUGGACUUUUGGUAUUCAAGGAAAGGGGAGGAGGCUGAAAAAAUUGGUCUCGCAUGUAGAAAGCAACAAAAAUACACACAUACGUCGGGAUCAAAGAGUUUUGCAAGGAAGAAAAAAGAAAUGGAGCUUCUAAAAGGGGAAAAAGUUGGA